UCAAAAACCAUCGUUGUAAUUCAACUACAAGAACACUUA
rnacentral:tRNA from 1 species